UUCUAGACCCUAUAGAAGUGAUAUCCUUUUUUCCGCUCAUGGGGGAGAAAAGAUAUAACGGAUAGCGGAACAAAAC
rnacentral:sRNA from 2 species